rfam:Tupaia belangeri cont1.631685, whole genome shotgun sequence.
CUGAGUUAUCUCUAAACUCAAUCCAUACUCCAAAGCAAUUGAUUUAACAUGAUUAAUGUUAUAAUUUUUUAGCAUCAACAUAAAAAAAUUA